rnacentral:lncRNA from 1 species
GCUUUUCAAUCAGCGUAAAGUAUUAGGGAUUUUAUGGGAUGGCUUUUCUAUCCAUUGUGGAUUUUACUAAUAUUGAGGAUAAGUUCCAGCUGCUUGCUUGAUCACCAUGUUCAUUGUUCAAAGCAAUAUUGGUCCCCCCUUUCUAAUCUUUUUCAGCUGUAACUAAUUUGUCUUCCUCCACCCUUUGGCACUAUCAAUAUCUCUGUGGCUUUUGCCUUUGUUUCAUCACUUUGAAACUAUGUCUGCCUGUUACCCGCAUAGGUAUGGAUUGCCAUCAACACUUGG